rnacentral:misc_RNA from 1 species
GAUGAAGAACGCAGCGAAAUGCGAUAAGUAAUGUGAAUUGCAGAAUUCAGUGAAUCAUCGAAUCUUUGAACGCAUCUUGCGCUCCUUGGUAUUCCGAGGAGCAUGCCUGUUUGAGUGUCAUUUGUACCUUCAAGCUUUGCUUGGUGUUGGGUGUUUGUCCAUUCUCUUGCAGAGGGACUCGCCUUAAAGUAAUUGGCAGCCAGUGUUUUGGUUUUGAAGCGCAGCACAAGUCGCGAUUCAAAGCUAUACGCCCGCUUCCACAAGCCUUUUUCACUUUUGACCUCGGAUCAGGUAGGGAUACCCGCUGAACUUAAGCAUAUCAAUAAGCGGAGGA